rnacentral:rRNA from 1 species
UGGGGAAUUUUGGACAAUGGGCGAAAGCCUGAUCCAGCAAUGCCGCGUGUGUGAAGAAGGCCUUCGGGUUGUAAAGCACUUUUGUCCGGAAAGAAAUCCUUGGCUCUAAUACAGUCGGGGGAUGACGGUACCGGAAGAAUAAGCACCGGCUAACUACGUGCCAGCAGCCGCGGUAAUACGUAGGGUGCAAGCGUUAAUCGGAAUUACUGGGCGUAAAGCGUGCGCAGGCGGUUUGCUAAGACCGAUGUGAAAUCCCCGGGCUCAACCUGGGAACUGCAUUGGUGACUGGCAGGCUAGAGUAUGGCAGAGGGGGGUAGAAUUCCACGUGUAGCAGUGAAAUGCGUAGAGAUGUGGAGGAAUACCGAUGGCGAAGGCAGCCCCCUGGGCCAAUACUGACGCUCAUGCACGAAAGCGUGGGGAGCAAACAGGAUUAGAUACCCUGGUAGUCCACGCCCUAAACGAUGUCAACUAGUUGUUGGGGAUUCAUUUCCUUAGUAACGUAGCUAACGCGUGAAGUUGACCG